ensembl:lncRNA
UGUCAUCUGGUUCCGUGGAGUCUGGGAAAGGACAGGUCUGACCCGAGGCGGACGGACCCGGCAUGACGUCUCCAGACCCGAGCUGUGGUGCCUCAGUGUCUGCUCCUACCGGCGUGUCACACCUAGAGGAUGAGGAGGAUGAAGAUGAGCAAGGCGAAAAGUUUGAGUUUGACGACGACGAACCCACAGACAUGAACUCUGGUGAAUGGACCCGGCAGCCGGUGGUGCCGAGCUCAGACCAGGAGACGGCAAUGCAGGGAUUGAAUGGAACCAGCAGCUCACGGCAGAAGAACCAGGACGACGCAGGGAAUGCAGCUUUCCCUCAACUGCAUGAACUGAAGAACUGGAGCCUGAAGAUGAAGCCUUCUGCUUUUCUCUUGACAGAUGUGGACGUCAGGGAGCCGCCGGAGGGAUGUUCCACCUCCUCUGACCUGGGACUAACGGCAGAGUCACAGAGUUUCUGCAAAGCCAGCUGUGUCUACGAAGGUAAGCGCUGAAGUUCCAGCUCUCGGCUCUGUGUCUAUUGCAGCAGUGUCAGGAUGUUUCUGUAUUGACUUUCCUCGGGGCAGUGGAGGCGUUGCAUCGAGCCAAGGAGUGGCUCAGCGUGGUCUCAGAGCUCACGCAGCGCCUCAGUCACAAAGGUACGCCACCUGUAGGGCUGCAGCCGCUGUGGUCAUAGAGCAGCCGUAGUCUCAGAGGGUCUGUGGUCAUAGAACAGCUGUGGUAGUAGAGGGUCUGUGGUCGUAGAACAGCUGUGGUUGUAGAGGGCUUGUGGUUGUAGAGGGCCUGUGGAUGUAGAGGGUCUGUGGUAGUAGAGGGUCUGUCGUGGUAGAGUAGCCAUAGUCUCAGAGGGUCUGUGGUCGUAGAACAGCUCUGGUUGUAGAGGGCCUGUGGUGGUAGAGGGUCUGUGGUCGUAGAGGGUCUGUGGACANNNNNNNNNNNNNNNNNNNNNNNNNGCUGUGGCUCCACUUCAGCCGUUCUCAUGGUCUGAAGCACCGGAGAGGAGCCUGGUUCUGACCCGCCGAGCGGCCGCCGGCUGCAGCACAGGCUCUGAGGGAUCUGUUGGGAUCCGCCUCUGUCUCUCUUAAAACUGUUUUGGUCUCAUUCUUACGUCUGAAAAGCAGCUCGUGAAAGAGUUUUGUGUGUAAACAGAUUCUAUAUGAAUCGAUGACAUGAGUCCUGGUCCAGAUUAAAUACGUUCACAACCUGAACCUUUCCAGGCGUGUUCGUUCCCGUCUGGAACAGUGUGUUACGGUAUAGACUCUGAGGCAGCGUGAAGCCGCCCUGCCCCCUGCUUUUCCACGAAAAGUGUAGAUUUCACAUUAUGCAACACACACGCAUAGUUUUCACACGUGGAGUUUAACUACAGCAGCGACACUGUUUGUUCAGGUCUUAUUUGACACACACACACACACACACACACACACACACACACACACACACACACACACACACACACACACACACACACACACACACACACACACACACACACACUCACUCACAUGCACACAAAGUUUUCAGAUUAUUUCUUGUUCCACACAUCAUUUAAUCACAUUCACUGCUGACUUACUGAAUAACUGUAGAAGCUCUGAAACCAUUAGCACUGGUCAUAACAUUAAUAAUCAUUGAUAAAUGCUCUAGAUCUAAUCAGAUCCCAGGAAUAAAUGUGUUUCCUGUCCGCUUUAAAGUCCUUCA